GGCUGGUCUGAAGGUAGUGAUUUAUCUCACGUGAUUGUCCAUUACAGACUGAACCCCUUGUUCUACUCUUUCCCCCCUUUUCACUGCUGCACUUGACUAGUCUAAA
ensembl:misc_RNA Y_RNA Y RNA